GACAGAGGGUGCAAACGUUGCUCGGAAUCACUGGGCGUAAAGGGCGUGUAGGCGGGAAGGAAAGUCGGGCGUGAAAUCCCUGGGCUCAACCCAGGAACUGCACUCGAAACUUCUUUUCUUGAGUGCCGGAGAGGAAAGCGGAAUUCCUGGUGUAGAGGUGAAAUUCGUAGAUAUCAGGAGGAACACCAGUGGCGAAGGCGGCUUUCUGGUCCUUAACUGACGCUGAGGCGCGAAAGCAUGGGGAGCGAACGGG
rnacentral:rRNA from 1 species